rnacentral:tRNA from 1 species
GGUGAGAUGGCCGAGUGGUUAUGGCGCUGCGUUCAGGUGAACCUGGAUAAUUCUAUGAGGCUUUGGUAUCAUUGAAUACGAUUCGCAGUGGAGCAAUCCGCGUGGGUUCGAGUCCCACUCUCAUCA